rnacentral:misc_RNA from 1 species
GAAAUGCGAUAACUAGUGUGAAUUGCAGAAUUCCGUGAAUCAUCGAGUCUUUGAACGCACAUUGCGCCCCCUGGUAUUCCGGGGGGCAUGCCUGUCCGAGCGUCAUUGCUGCCCAUCAAGCACGGCUUGUGUGUUGGGUCGUCGUCCCCUCUCCGGGGGGGACGGGCCCCAAAGGCAGCGGCGGCACCGCGUCCGAUCCUCGAGCGUAUGGGGCUUUGUCACCCGCUCUGUAGGCCCGGCCGGCGCUUGCCGAACGCAAAUCAAUCUUUUUCCAGGUUGACCUCGGAUCAGGUAGGGAUACCCGCUGCACUUAAGC